GAUGAACGCUGGCGGCGUGCCUAAUACAUGCAAGUCGAGCGAAUGGAUUAAGAGCUUGCUCUUAUGAAGUUAGCGGCGGACGGGUGAGUAACACGUGGGUAACCUGCCCAUAAGACUGGGAUAACUCCGGGAAACCGGGGCUAAUACCGGAUAACAUUUUGAACCGCAUGGUUCGAAAUUGAAAGGCGGCUUCGGCUGUCACUUAUGGAUGGACCCGCGUCGCAUUAGCUAGUUGGUGAGGUAACGGAUCACAAAGGCAACGAUGCGUAGCCGACCUGAGAGGGUGAACGGCCACACUGGGACUGAGAAACGGCCCAGACUCCUACGGGAGGCAGCAGUAGGGAAUCUUCCGCAAUGGACGAAAGUCUGACGGAGCAACGCCGCGUGAGUGAUGAAGGCUUUCGGGUCGUAAAACUCUGUUGUUAGGGAAGAGCAAGUGCUAGUUGAAUAAGCUGGCACCUUGACGGUACCUAACCAGAAAGCCACGGCUAACUACGUGCCAGCAGCCGCCGUAA
rnacentral:rRNA from 1 species